rnacentral:SRP_RNA from 1 species
GCUGGGUGUGGUGGCGCAUGCCUGUAAUCCUGGCUACUCGGGAGGCUGAGGCAGGAGAAUUGCUUGAACCCAGGAGGUGGAGGUUGUGGUGAGCCAAGAGAUGCGCCACUGCCCUCCAGCCUGGGCAACAGAGCAAGACUCUGCCUCAA